CCUACGGGUGGCAGCAGUGAGGAAUAUUGGUCAAUGGACGAGAGUCUGAACCCGUCAAGUAGCGUGAAGGCUGACUGCCCUAUGGGUUGUAAACUUCUUUUAUAUGGGAAUAAAAUGUUCCACGUGUGGGAUUUUGAAUGUACCAUAUGAAUAAGGAUCGGCGAACUCCGUGCCAGCAGCCGCGGUAAUACGGAGGAUCCGAGCGUUAUCCGGAUUUUUUGGGUUUAAAGGGAGAGUAGGUGGAUUGUUAAGGCAGUUGUGAAAGUUUGCGUCUCAACCCUAAAAUUGCAGUUGAAACUAGCAGUCUUGAGUACAGUAGAGGAGAGUGGAAUUCGUGGUGUAGCGGUGAAAUGCGUAGAUAUCGCGAAGAACUCCGAUUGCGAAGGCAGCUCACUGGACUGCAACUGACACUGAGGCUCGAAAGUGUGGGGAUCAAACAGGAUUAGAGACCCCAGUAGUC
rnacentral:rRNA from 1 species